AACGAACGCUGGCGGCGUGCCUAACACAUGCAAGUCGAACGAGAAGUCUGUAGCAAUACAGAUUGUAAAGUGGCGCACGGGUGAGUAACACGUGGGUAAUCUGCCCUCGAGUUUGGGAUAACCCCGCGAAAGCGGGGCUAAUACCGAAUAAGACCACAGGGACCAAAGUCCCAGGGGUAAAAGGUGGCCUCUAUUUAUAAGCUACCACUUGAGGAUGAGCCCGCGGCCCAUUAGCUAGUUGGCAGGGUAACGGCCUACCAAGGCGAUGAUGGGUAGCUGGUCUGAGAGGACGAUCAGCCAGACUGGGACUGGGACACGGUGCAGACUCCUACGGGAGGCAGCAGUGGGGAAUAUUGCGCAAUGGGCGAAAGCCUGACGCAGCAACGCCGCGUGGGGGAUGAAGGUUCUCGGAUUGUAAACCCCUUUCGACCGGAACGAAUCCCCUCCUGGUAAAUAAUCAGGAGGAUCGACGGUACCGGGAGAGGAAGCCACGGCUAACUCUGUGCCAGCCGCCGCGGUAACAC
rnacentral:rRNA from 1 species